GACGAACGCUGGCGGCGUGCCUAAUACAUGCAAGUAGAACGCUGAAGAGAGGAGCUUACUCUUCUUGGAUGAGUUGCGAACGGGUGAGUAACGCGUAGGUAACCUGCCUUGUAGCGGGGGAUAACUAUUGGAAACGAUAGCUAAUACCGCAUAACAAUGGAUGACACAUGUCAUUUAUUUGAAAGGGGCAAUUGCUCCACUACAAGAUGGACCUGCGUUGUAUUAGCUAGUAGGUGAGGUAAUGGCUCACCUAGGCGACGAUACAUAGCCGACCUGAGAGGGGGAUCGGCCACACUGGGACUGAGACACGGCCCAGACUCCUACGGGAGGCAGCAGUAGGGAAUCUUCGGCAAUGGGGGCAACCCUGACCGAGCAACGCCGCGUGAGUGAAGAAGGUUUUCGGAUCGUAAAGCUCUGUUGUAAGUCAAGAACGGGUGUGAGAGUGGAAAGUUCACAAUGUGACGGUAGCUUACCAGAAAGGGACGGCUAACUACGUG
rnacentral:rRNA from 1 species